GAGUCAUCUGGUUCCAGUGACAAUGAAGACUGAGGUGUCUGCUUUGCAGUUUUUUUUUUUCUUUUCUUGUCUUUUUUUUUUUUUUUCCUAAUCAUGUGGACAUCUCUGAGAAUGAGGGGACUGGGUGACUUUGCAGUGUCUGCUUUCUAAGUUUCAAAGUGACUUUCCAGGCAAGCUGCGCAUAUCUUGGGAUCUUCACAGCACAGUGGCUGGGAAGGCAGGCGGACCCGUCUAUCAGCUUCUCCCUGGUGGGAUUCUUGCGGGGGCAGGGAUCGAGUCAAACCUUGGAAAUGACGUCAUUCUGAACUCAUCUGCCUUUAUCCAGAAGACUACCAAAGCAAACCAGAGGACCAGAGAACAGCAGCUGCUCUGGACAAAGAGGGGAGGACACCCACACCCACAUACCAAGUUCUGGUUGACUUCUACAGCAGAAGAAGCAGGAGACACAAGAAGGGGAAGACACAAGGAAGCUGGGCAUGAUGGCCAAGUGUUAGAGGGUUACACUACUGCCUUCUGCUUCUGAUCUGAUUGAGUCACAGCUGAGAUGUGGCACCAGGACUCUUGGCUACACUCAGUUCUCUCAGUUUGACUGAGUACUCUGGGAUCACAGAAGUGACUACAUGAUGAGUCAUUCUGUACCAACAGUAAUGUCUGGACCCUUCUCCUGGGAAAGGCACUUUGAACCUUCCCCAUGGUUCUCCACAUCUGUUCUCCACCCAUUCUCCCUCCAGCGGUGGAGAUGAUGAUGAUGGUGGUGGUGGUGAUGAUGAUGUCCUUUUCUGGUCAAGGAGAAGAAAGCUUCAUAGCACUAUGGUUGAAGGUCAGCUUUCCUAGGUCUUUUGCUAACAUUUCUGUUUGUGGGGUUUCUGAAUCAUCGGAGGAUACUUGUUUGAAGGAUGUCUGAGGAGAUCUUGGGUUCAAACUUGAGUCAAACACCGUUGAUGCCCCCAAAAGUUAGCUCCAAACAGAAUUGCUUAGUCCUGGGAAAAAAUGAAAAUCCAAGCUCCAACUGGCAAAGCAGAGAGGACCUGACAAGUGAGCGUUUUCGACAUCGUAGAAGAGAAAUUGGAUGACUAAGAACAAUCAUCUUCCUGACAGAUUAUGAUCUUGGUCAGCCUGGCUCUGCUGAGUCACUCUGCUAAAUAGUUCCCCUCACGUGGCCCAGCUGCCACCUGUCCCCAGAGGCGCCAAAGGCCACCUGAUCCCAACCACAACUUCAGCUCUCACUACUUGGGUUGUUCCUGCUGCUGUAUUUGUUUUGUUCUUAGGUUAAAAGCAUAAUAUGUAUACAAAAUUAUGUACCAGGUAAACGUUCACAAUUAGCUUCAUGUCAAAAUUAAAAUUAGCAUGAUCA
rnacentral:lncRNA from 7 species